rnacentral:rRNA from 1 species
AAUUCCUCAUCCCACCAGGUAGUAGAAAUAAUCAAAACCACUCGAAAUGGCGGUCCUGAUAAAUUAGAGAAGCUCGCUUUAUAAUCGACAAUGCCCGAUAAUUUUAACUUUUCAUGACAGCUUAUAUACCGCCGUUUCAGGUCAUAUAUAACAAUAAAACCACCAAAUUACAUAAAAUAAAAAAUCAGGUCAAGGUGUAGCCCACAAAAAAGGAAAAGUAAGCUACACUAACAUCAAGUUAAGGAAAAAAUACAAAAAUAAAAUAGAAAGAGAAUUUAUUUGUAUACAUAGCUUAAAAAUCUAUCUAGAAACAUUCACUCAGGAUGC